CUGAGCUGAAGUUGGACACUCAACCAACUGAGCCACCCAGGUGCCCCACUUCUAUAGCCUCAGCCAGGGCUUGGUGUUCUGAGAUACUAUCUUGUCUGAACUUCACUGGGGGUGGGAGGAAUGUUCACCCCAUUGUACAGAAGGGGAAACCAAAAUUUAGAGAAACUUCAUCCAACAAAUAUCUAUUAAGUGUCUAUUCUGUGUCAGCUCCCCUCCUGCCCUCACAGUCUGUUAGGAAAGACAAACAUUCCACAGACGAAAAUAGGGAAUGAUGGAUUGUACUAAGUGAUGUGGCUGUAAAGACUGGGGAACUAUGAGAGAAACCAGUCCUACUGGAAGGGGUCAGGGAAGACCUGUCUGCAGGCAGCAUUUAAGCUGAGACCAGAAGGGUGAAUGGAUGUGACUUGCCCUUAAGACUCACAAGUUGGGCACAGCUGAGUCCUGUGGGUGGUUUCUGACCUCUGUCUGUAUGCCUGUUUCCUGGGCAGACACGGCCAUCCUGCUGUCUAGAGGGGUGAGGCACAAAGAGACCAGUUAGGAGAAGACCCAAGGUGAGUGGAACCUUGACGCUCCCACCCUCUUGUCAUUGAGGUUGGGAAUGGGACACCAAGAAGCCUGGGAAAGCAGAUGUAACUUAAACCGAAGCUCGGGUCCAGCGGCAGAAUCCUCAGGCAAAGGCAUUGUGUUGGCCUUUCCCCACCGCCUGAGCCACCUUGGGGUCUUCAGGGGGCUGCUACAUGGUUACUGACCCAGCCCUGGACACAGUUCAUUGGUCAACGAGUAAACAUGUGACUAAACCGGGCCUAUAGGGUAGUUCCCUGAAAUCUGUUUCUCCCUGAAGGUGACCUGCCCUAACCCACUACUCUGUGCUCUCAUAGGGAUGCUCCCACCCAAAGCAGAGGUUUGUGCAGCCUUGGGAGUAUAGGGGAUUCGGGCUCAAAAUAUGGCAAAGCUACAAGAUCUCUGCUGAGCAUGUGGCAGGUCCCAGUCAGCAGUCACCUCCACCAGGAAGUCUUCACCAACACCCCUGGGGACAAGCUGCCCCUCCUGCAUGAUUCCACACCUUCUUCGGCAGGCCUCCAGUCAGACCCAGUCCUGCCCUCAGACUUGAGGUGAGGCUCCAAUUAAUUAAAACACAUGAAAUCUGAA